UACGUAGGGGCCUAGCGUUGUCCGGAAUUAUUGGGCGUAAAGAGCUUGUAGGCGGUUUGUCGCGUCUGCCGUGAAAAUUCGAGGCUCAACCUCGAACUUGCGGUGGGUACGGGCAGACUAGAGUGUGGUAGGGGAGACUGGAAUUCCUGGUGUAGCGGUGAAAUGCGCAGAUAUCAGGAGGAACACCGAUGGCGAAGGCAGGUCUCUGGGCAUUAACUGACGCUGAGGAGCGAAAGCAUGGGGAGCGAACAGG
rnacentral:rRNA from 1 species